GGGCAAGUGGAAAGCUGGUAGAGCUGCUUCUAAAUUAAAAUUGGAAAAUGAAACUGGAAAUCACAAGCUCACACCCGCUCGGAGGGUCUAGAAUAGUACCGGGCGUUCAGCAGGUACACACACCCAAAUAUGUCUCUGGUGAGUGUGCAGGCCUGAAGAGCCCCAGAGAAGGAUGACGCUGCAUCAAGAGGUCUGCCUAGGGAGCUCGGGUGUCCACAUCUCUUCCAGGUCCCCCAGGGUUCUCAGAGGUGAAUGCAGGGUCAGCCCCACAUCGCCAAAUAAGGCUCACAGUGACCCUAGCAACAGGCUCCACUACCCAUUGGCUCCCACUGCCGCUGCCUGCCAGGCACAGAGGCCCAGCGC